AGGAUAAUGGCAGCAGAAGGCAAAGGGAGCAGACAGCUGGCAAGCUCUGUCCCAAUAUGCUUCCCUGAAAGAGGCGAGGAAAUUUCAGAAGAUGCAAUGCCUGAAUGGCUCACUUUGCAGGAAAACAGAAGAACCAAGAGUGAACAGGAAACCUACAGAAUAGGAGAAAAUUUUUGCAAUCUACUCAUCUGACAAAAGGCUAAUAUCCAGAAUCUACAAAGAACUCAAACAAAUUUACAAGCACAAAACGAACAACCCCAUCAACAAGUGGGCAAAGGACAUGAACAGACACUUCUCAAAAGAAGACAUUUAUGCAGCCAACAGACACAUGAAAAAAUGCUCAUCAUCACUGCCCAGCUAAAUCUUGACUUCUAUUGAAGAAGUGAAGGAUGGAUUUUGUAAGCCUACCAGCAGCCAAAGGAGACUAAGAGGAGUCAUUCAGGAAUAUGAGGGUUAUGAAGACAGUGGUGUCCCAGAAACCAAGGAGAAGAGGAUGUUGCAUGAAGAAGGAGAUGAUGGUUUCACUUUGGUUACAUUUAUCCAAAUGCCCCGUCCAACUCUUCAGUGUCCCUAGUAAAAUCUGGUAUAGAGAUGGACACUGUUUUUUAGGUGAGGCCUGCUGAGUGUGGAGAGUUGUGAAAAAUUUUUCCCUUAAAUUGAGAAUGUUUUAAAUAAUGCAGCCUAUGUUUUCUUUAAGUAACAAGGCCAUCCCACUGACUCACACUGAUCUUGUUCUCAGCAAAAAACUCCCUGCUCUUCCUCAUAUUAAUUGCCAUAAAAACAAGUCACUUCUAUCAUGCAUUUGGCUCAUUGAGUUAUGAAAAUAUGUAGGUAUUUCGUUUCUUUUUAUGUAAAUUUAUGCUGGUUUUAGUCCAUCAUUUGAAGUCCAGAAGUCUUCUGGAACUUAACUGUGUCUGUAUUAGUUGUCUUUUCCAUCUUGUGGUUUAUGGUAAAAUUAAUAAAAGGCCUUGCAAACCAGUAACAA
rnacentral:lncRNA from 1 species